AGCGAAAGUGACGGUACCUGCAGAAGAAGCACCGGCUAACUACGUGCCAGCAGCCGCGGUAAUACGUAGGGUGCGAGCGUUAUCCGGAAUUAUUGGGCGUAAAGAGCUCGUAGGCGGUUUGUCGCGUCUGUCGUGAAAGUCCGGGGCUUAACCCCGGAUCUGCGGUGGGUACGGGCAGACUAGAGUGCAGUAGGGGAGACUGGAAUUCCUGGUGUAGCGGUGGAAUGCGCAGAUAUCAGGAGGAACACCGAUGGCGAAGGCAGGUCUCUGGGCUGUAACUGACGCUGAGGAGCGAAAGCAUGGGGAGCGAACAGGAUUAGAUACCCUGGUAGUCCAUGCCGUAAACGUUGGGCACUAGGUGUGGGGACCAUUCCACGGUUUCCGCGCCGCAGCUAACGCAUUAAGUGCCCCGCCUGGGGAGUACGGCCGCAAGGCUAAAACUCAAAGGAAUUGACGGGGGCCCGCACAAGCGGCGGAGCAUGCGGAUUAAUUCGAUGCAACGCGAAGAACCUUACCAAGGCUUGACAUGUUCUCGAUCGCCGUAGAGAUACGGUUUCCCCUUUGGGGCGGGUUCACAGGUGGUGCAUGGUUGUCGUCAGCUCGUGUCGUGAGAUGUUGGGUUAAGUCCCGCAACGAGCGCAACCCUCGUUCCAUGUUGCCAGCACGUCGUGGUGGGGACUCAUGGGAGACUGCCGGGGUCAACUCGGAGGAAGGUGAGGACGACGUCAAAUCAUCAUGCCCCUUAUGUCUUGGGCUUCACGCAUGCUACAAUGGCCGGUACAAUGGGUUGCGAUACUGUGAGGUGGAGCUAAUCCCAAAAAGCCGGUCUCAGUUCGGAUUGGGGUCUGCAACUCGACCCCAUGAAGUCGGAGUCGCUAGUAAUCGCAGAUCAGCAACGCUGCGGUGAAUACGUUCCCGGGCCUUGUACACACCGCCCGUCAAGUCACGAAAGUUGGUAACACCCGAAGCCGG
rnacentral:rRNA from 1 species